AUUGAACGCUGGCGGCAUGCUUUACACAUGCAAGUCGAACGGUAAAAGGGAGCUUGCUCCGCUGCCGAGCGGCGAACGGGUGAGUAAUAUAUCGGCAACUACCCCCGAGUGGGGGGUAACGUCGCGGAAAUUCCGCUAAUACCGCAUACGGUCUACGGAUCUAAGCAGGGGUCCUUAAGGCCUUGUUCUCCUGGCGCGGCCGGUGUCUGAUUAGCUAGUUGGUGAGGUAAAGGCUCACCAAGGCGGCGAUGGGUAGCUGGUCUGAGAGGACGACCAGCCACACUGGGACUGAGACACGGCCCAGACUCCUACGGGAGGCAGCAGUGGGGAAUCUUGCGCAAAGCGCGAAAGCGUGACGCAGCAACGCCGCGUGGGGGAAGAAGGCCUUCGGGUUGUAAAGCCCUUUCAGGAGGGAAGAAGGUUCGGCGGUGAAUAGCCGUCCGGACUGACGGUACCUCCACAAGAAGCCCCGGCUAACUACGUG
rnacentral:rRNA from 1 species